rnacentral:rRNA from 1 species
AUUGAACGCUGGCGGCAUGCUUUACACAUGCAAGUCGAACGGCAGCGCGGGUGCUUGCACCUGGCGGCGAGUGGCGAACGGGUGUGUAAUAUAUCGGAACGUGCCCUGGAGUGGGGGACAACCAGUCGAAAGAUUGGCUAAUACCGCAUACGAUCUAAGGAUGAAAGUGGGGGACCUUCGGGCCUCAUGCUCCUGGAGCGGCCGAUAUCUGAUUAGCUAGUUGGUGGGGUAAAGGCCUACCAAGGCGACGAUCAGUAGCUGGUCUGAGAGGACGAUCAGCCACACUGGGACUGAGACACGGCCCAGACUCCUACGGGAGGCAGCAGUGGGGAAUUUUGGACAAUGGGGGCAACCCUGAUCCAGCAAUGCCGCGUGAGUGAAGAAGGCCUUCGGGUUGUAAAGCUCUUUUGUCAGGGAAGAAAUUGCCUGGGUUAAUACCCUGGGUAGAUGACGGUACCUGAAGAAUAAGCACCGGCUAACUACGUGCCAGCAGCCGCCGUAAUAC